rnacentral:lncRNA from 1 species
CUAACAAUCAAUACCCAAAUACCUGCCAUGCUUGAGGAUUUUUUAAAAGAUGAAUCCAGCAUCACAGCCGCAGCCUCUCUUUAAUUGUUUCUAAGUAAUAUUUCUUUUCUGGCUCCUGGAGAUGACCUACAGGCUCUCUAGUGUGCACAGGCAUCCAAAGACUGAUGAGGAAAAUCAGUUGGAGUGUGUUUUUUUACUCUGACUUCUCAGAUGAACACAAGCAGGUCAGCAAUAGAUGAUGCAAGAACAAGGCUGAACUUCCAGCCCAUUAGGCUCUGUGGAGCCAGGCGGCAGACGGGUGAUGUGGUGUGUCUGCAUACCUCCCCCAGGCACUGGAGAAGAGGUAAGAUGCAAAACCCUUCCUGCACUGCAAGGAGGUACAAGAUCCUUCUCAUCCUCAAGGGAACACACUGCUUCACAAACACACUGUGGCAACUUCCCGUGCCACAGGGGUGCCACGGGACAAGCUCACGGACUGUGGGAAUCACUCCUAGAAGAGACAGGGAUGGCAAAAGGAGAAGGCAUUUGCAAAGCCUUCUGAAAUGGUGCCUCCCCUGGCUAAAAGGGCUCACCUUGAAGGCACCUGAAGGGCUUCUGAGCCACUCCAGACAACUUCCCAGUGCUGACUGUCCUGUGUGAAACAAGGAACUUGGCUCAGUCAGGACGGCAGAGGUUUGUCAGAGCCUGUGUCCCACUGGAAAUGCCUUCAUUCUCCAACUUGAAGUGUUUGUCUCUUCUAUCAGCCUUGGCAGUGGGGCAGUUUAAGGGAUCACUCCACACUUCUGUUGGCAUAAAGCUGGUACCUAUUUUCCCUGUGGAAGCAGGAGUUACUGAACUGGUUUAGGUGACUGUGACUAGAGUCCCUGUGAACAGUGUGGGUUAUUUUGGCACAGGUACAGUGGAAAAGUGCUAAUCCCCUCAUCUGCACUUGUUAAACCUUUUAAUUAAAGAUCACUUUGAUGAAAGUGCAAGGCUGAGAGGUCAGGGUUUUGCUACAGCACUCACCAGAGACUCAAGAAACAGCAGCUGUGAGUGGUAGUGAGCUUUGAGAUCUGUCUUUCGAGCCCUAGUGGAAAAGAUGAAGAGGCACCAGCUCCUAUGCUCUCCAUCUCUGUGGGGCAAAGCUAGACCCAGAGGAAUUUGGGUCUGAUUCACAGCUGAGCAGGAAAGGUGACCUAGAACUGCCCCACAUCAGUGAUUUCAUGUAAGUCAUCUGACAGAUGUGUGAGGGAUUCACCAAAAGAGGGAAAUGAAUAACUUUCAAAACCACCUUGGAGGACUGGGUUCUCAGAUGAAAAAGUGCUGAAAUGUGUGGAACCCAGGAAGAAAAGUGCAGCCACAAGAGCACACGGCUCCUCUGGAAAGAAUAAGAAUGCUGUGAAUUCUGAUUGUUUGCUUGCCCUUUUUUUCCUCCUGUGGUAUUUACAGUGCCCUGGUACUCACUCAGCUUUCCUAGCUAACAGCUAGGGAGGUGGAUGGAGCUGCCUGGAAUCCUGGCACCAGACACCUGACAGGCACCUUCAUGCUUCAGGCACCCUGCAGGAGGGCAGAGCCAGCUUGGCUGUGUUCCUGUGUGGGGAACAGGACCCCAACAGAGUGGGGAUUCCCCAAUGCACCUGCCCCUCUGACUUCUGGAAGAAGUUCCUCUCAAACCUGUGUGUCAUUCCCAGGUAUCACUCCCAUUUCCCUGGGGAAAUACUGACCCUGAUGGCAGAAUAUGGUGUGUUUGAGAUGCUGAAGACACCAAACUACUGUUUGCUGGGGUCUCCAGGCUGCCAGGCUGGCUGCCAGCUUGUUAAACACUCACUGAUGUGCCAUUAGGGAGCUGAAGUGUCAUCAGUGUUAUAAACCUGAACCUGUAGCUUAAUUUAGGGGCUUGUCAGACAUAUGGUAAUGGGCUGGUAAGGCUUGGUGAAAGGUGGCAUCUGCAGGCAUCUGCACAUUUUUAAUCUAUGUAUACAAUAAAAUAUUACACAUUAGCUUUUGCUCUUGCUGG